CCCAGACGAGCAAGCUCCCAGGUGACAUAUUGGCCUGUAUUAGUGGUGCUGGUGUCCAAGAGGGAAUGGACUGAAAUGCUACUAUAUUCUGUUUCUCUGAAUCCUGAUGGAGACUAGCUGAAAUGCCUCCAGAUGUUUUGGGGGCUGAAGACACUGGGGAUGAACCGCCCUCGGAAGACACUGGGGUUUACCCCAGUAACUGCAAGGAGGAGCAAAGACUCUCACCUGGACACGAGCAGAACACCAUCAGACAUCUAACGUGAGGUCUCACCCUGGGCCCAGCCCACGGGCUGCCAUCCCAGCCUAGCCUCCACCCUGCCCCAUCACCGUGGCCCUGCCCAGCAGUCCUGGUGCUGUGCUUCAUCGGGCCUGACCAUGACCCCAACCCGUGGGCUGACUUCUCACAGCCCUGCUCUGCUUCCACAAACCUGCCCACAGACCUGGGCUCUGGGCUGCUCCUGGCCUGCCCUGCUCCCUCACUGGGGACGGUGGGACAGAUCCUGCCUUGCUGGCGUGGGGUCCCCCUUGGCUCCCAGCACCCUGUGCCAUAGGGAG